GAUGAAGAACGUAGCGAAAUGCGAUAAGUAAUGUGAAUUGCAGAAUUCAGUGAAUCAUCGAAUCUUUGAACGCAUCUUGCGCUCCUUGGUAUUCUGAGGAGCAUGCCUGUUUGAGUGUCAUCAAAUUCUCAACCACUUCUUUUGAUGUGGCUUUGGAUAUGGGGGGAUUUCUUUUUUGCAGGCUUCUGAAAAACAAAGUCGGCUCCCCUGAAAUGUAUUAGUGGUGUCUGAGCAGGAGACUACUAUGGGUGUGAUAAAUCUAUCUAUGCCUUGGUACAACUGCUAUGCCGCUUCUAGCGAGUGCAUUUGACAAAUUUGACCUCAAAUCAGGUAGGACUACCCGCUGAACUUAAGCAUAUCAAUAAGCGGAGGA
rnacentral:misc_RNA from 1 species